rnacentral:tRNA from 1 species
GAGAUGUUAGUAAAACUAAUUACAUAGCCUUGUCAAGACUAAGUUACAAGUGAAAACCUCGUACAUCUCC